UCCGGAUGUUAGGUAUUAUUGCUAGAUGAUCACUUCGAUUAGUAUAGGAAGAAAUUUCUAUACUACCAAUUUAGUUUUGGAAUUUAUUGAGUCGCGCACAAAAGUCAAACGAUGUAGAAAAGAAUUGACCGAAUAUUUAUAUGUUCAAUUUAAAAAUAUGAGACUUGAUUGAAUAUGUAAAUUAACUUAAUUAAGAAUUAAGUGUAGGUCAUACAGAAUUAAACACUAACUAUAUUC
rnacentral:lncRNA from 1 species